rnacentral:rRNA from 1 species
UACGUAGGGUGCGAGCGUUGUCCGGAAUUAUUGGGCGUAAAGAGCUCGUAGGUGGUCUGUUGCGUCCGCUGUGAAAACCCAGGGCUUAACCCUGGGCUGGCAGUGGAUACGGGCAGACUAGAGGUAGGUAGGGGAGAAUGGAAUUCCCGGUGUAGCGGUGAAAUGCGCAGAUAUCGGGAGGAACACCAAUGGCGAAGGCAGCUCGCUGGGACGUGACUGACGCUGAGACGCGAAAGCGUGGGGAGCAAACAGG